rfam:Trichomalopsis sarcophagae strain Alberta scaffold61, whole genome shotgun sequence.
CAAUCGGCCCUUUUCAGGGCCACAAAAAUAUNGUGUCGAGCAAGG